rnacentral:snRNA from 2 species
AUACCUUUCUCGGCCUCUCCGCUAAGAUCAAGUGUAGUAUUUGUUCUUAUCAGUUUAAUAUCUGAUAUAUGGAUCUUCGGAUUCAUCCCAUGAUAUUAAUUUAAUUUUUUGUGGGGGAGGGCCCGCCACAGCAGCUAGCUGCUGGGGCCCUCAAGCGUCGCCAAGCCUUGGACUGACGCAACCCAA